rnacentral:rRNA from 1 species
AACGAACGCUGGCGGCAGGCUUAACACAUGCAAGUCGAGCGCCCCGCAAGGGGAGCGGCAGACGGGUGAGUAACGCGUGGGAACGUACCCUUUGCUACGGAAUAGCUCCGGGAAACUGGAAUUAAUACCGUAUGUGCCCUACGGGGGAAAGAUUUAUCGGCAAAGGAUCGGCCCGCGUUGGAUUAGCUAGUUGGUGGGGUAAUGGCCUACCAAGGCGACGAUCCAUAGCUGGUCUGAGAGGAUGAUCAGCCACAUUGGGACUGAGACACGGCCCAAACUCCAACGGGAGGCAGCAGUGGGGAAUAUUGGACAAUGGGCGCAAGCCUGAUCCAGCCAUGCCGCGUGAGUGAUGAAGGCCUUAGGGUUGUAAAGCUCUUUCACCGGAGAAGAUAAUGACGGUAUCCGGAGAAGAAGCCCCGGCUAACUUCGUGCCAGCCGCCGCCGUAUAC